rnacentral:rRNA from 1 species
AAGCCCAGCACCGAAGCCUGAGGUCGUUUGGCCUCUAGGCAAUGUGGUGUUCAGGUCAGCUCGCGGAGGUACUGCUCCACCCUAAGUCCUAUAAUGAGUAAGGUUACUCGGACGUGGCCCACAGAGGGUGAAAGGCCCGUGGGGGUGGAGACUCAGAUUGGCCAGUAUCUCCCUGAGUGGACCUUGGAGUCGGGUUGUUUGUGAAUGCAGCCCAAAGUGGGUGGUAAACUCCAUCCAAGGCUAAAUACUAACACGAGUCCGAUAGCGAACAAGUACCGUGAGGGAAAGUUGAAAAGUACUUUGAAGAGAGAGUAAACAGUGCGUGAAACCGCUCAGAGGUAAACGGGUGGAGUUGAACUGCAAGCUCUGAGAAUUCAACUGGUGAGUAUGGCAUGAGCUGGGUAUAUUGGUUGACGGUUCGGGUCUGCUCAGCUGCAGGUCCUCGCCUUUUGGUGGGGAUGCGCGAAUCACUUGCCAAGUGUUGUGCGCCCGGACUGUAUCGGACCUGCUUGCCAGUGCACUUUCUCAGAGUAAUCACCACGACCGGCGUUGCUGUCUGGCUGUUGUAGUUAAACCGGCCUCGUAGAGUCCUUGUGGCUUUGCUUGGCUCGGGAUGG